GAUGAACGCUGGCGGCGUGCUUAACACAUGCAAGUCGAACGGGAAACCUUUUAAUGAAGCUUCGGCAGAUUUAGCUGGUUUCUAGUGGCGGACGGGUGAGUAACGCGUGGGUAACCUGCCUUAUACAGGGGGAUAACAGUCAGAAAUGACUGCUAAUACCGCAUAAGCGCACAGGACCGCAUGGUCCGGUGUGAAAAACUCCGGUGGUAUAAGAUGGACCCGCGUUGGAUUAGCUUGUUGGUGGGGUAACGGCUCACCAAGGCGACGAUCCAUAGCCGGCCUGGGAGGGUGAACGGCCACAUUGGGACUGAGACACGGCCCAGACUCCUACGGGAGGCAGCAGUGGGGAAUAUUGCACAAUGGGGGAAACCCUGAUGCAGCGACGCCGCGUGAAGGAAGAAGUAUCUCGGUAUGUAAACUUCUAUCAGCAGGGAAGAUAGUGACGGUACCUGACUAAGAAGCCCCGGCUAACUACGUG
rnacentral:rRNA from 1 species